CUCGAUAGUUAUUUUUUAUGAACUAUACCGGUUUUCAAGACCGGAGCCAUCAACCWCUCGGCCAUCUCUCC
rnacentral:tRNA from 1 species